UACGUAGGGUGCGAGCGUUGUCCGGAAUUACUGGGCGUAAAGAGCUUGUAGGUGGUUUGUCGCGUUGUUCGUGAAAUCUCACGGCUUAACUGUGAGCGUGCGGGCGAUACGGGCAGACUAGAGUACUGCAGGGGAGACUGGAAUUCCUGGUGUAGCGGUGGAAUGCGCAGAUAUCAGGAGGAACACCGGUGGCGAAGGCGGGUCUCUGGGCAACAACUGACGCUGAGGAGCGAAAGCGUGGGGAGCAAACAGG
rnacentral:rRNA from 1 species